AACAUAUUUUUUCUUCUUCCUUCUCUGUCUAGGUCGAAUUUCUUCUUCUCCUCCAUUCAAACCCUUGAUUCUAGGGUUUACAAUUUCUCAAUUGAUUUGGGGGUUUUGUUUCUGGGUUUGAGUUUUCAUUCAAGUGUAUUCUCAUUCAAUUGUUUUUGAGUUUUCGGUCAUAGGCACAUGUAUUCUCAUUCAAUUGUUUUUGAAUUUUCGCUCAUAUCCACAUGACCGAUUCUGGGUUUCAUAAUUUGGUGAUUCUGGGUUUGCUAAUUUCGAUUCUGGGUUUGCUAUUUUUUGUUUACUUCAGUAUCAGUGGCGCUUGCAUUACGAUCCACCCACAAAUCCUGCAGCUCCUGCUCGUAUUCCUGGUGCUUAGCUUCGGUUCCAAGAUUUAGCGUUGACAGGCUUGAACCUCAAGAUAACUCAUCUGAGGCCAGAGCUCUCAUCACAAGGCUCACCGAGGAAAAGAACUCUGGGGUUCAACUGAAUAACAACUUCAGCAAGAAUUGGUAUGGACGAGGAACUUCCGAAACUGCUUUUCGAGCCUGGUUUUGUGAAUGAUAUUGACAAGAUCAACAAUCGAUGCAUUCUUAACACAAUGGACCCCGUUAAGAAAGCACUUUCAGACGAAUACAAAAAAGUUCUGCUAGACCCUGUCUUUGGACCUGUUUUGUCGAUUAUCGAGAACGACAUGGGGUGUCCACGUUGAUCGUAUAUAUACUCCGGUCAAUGUCAAGAACAACCACUGGAUAUCUUUGUGCAUCAAUUUCGAGCUGAGAACAGUGGAAGUUUUUGAUUGCGACGGGGGCAAACACAGCCGGUACGUGGAUGCAUUCACAAACAUCAUCCCUAGAGUUGUGAAGGAAGUUCAAAGUUACAAAGAGAAGAAGCAACUGGUUAUUAAACCGUACACAGUGAAGUAUGUUCCGAUGAGGCUUGGGAUCAAUAGGAGCUCAUGUGAUUGUGGAGUUUAUGCGCUCAAAUUCAUUGAGUGUCACAUGCUUGGACUACAAUUGUCUUUGCUUAACGACGACAACAUUUACGCAGCUAGGAUGAAGAUCACCUAUGAUCCUUGGAAAGCAGCACAUGAUCCAAUAUUGAUUGAGCGGAUGAGAAAGUAUGUGCCUCCGAAAACAGUGUGCUCAGAUGAUAUUGUAGACUUGUUAUAGGUUUGACAUAUUUCGUUUUAGGUGGUUCAGUUUUUAAUUUUUAUUUGGCAUCGUAUGUUUCGUUGCUUGACAUUGUGUU